rnacentral:rRNA from 1 species
UGCAAGUCGAACGCGAAAGGGACUUCGGUCCUGAGUAAAGUGGCGCACGGGUGAGUAACGCGUAGAUAACCUGUCUUCAUGUCUGGAAUAAUACGCCGAAAGGGGUACUAAUACCGGAUAUUCUUGCUUUUCAUAAGUUAUGCAAGCAAAGGUGGCCUCUGCAUAUGCUACUGCAUGAAGAGGGGUCUGCGUACCAUUAGCUAGUAGGUGGGGUAAUGGCCUACCUAGGCGACGAUGGUUAGCGGGUCUGAGAGGAUGAUCCGCCACACUGGCACUGGAACACGGGCCAGACUCCUACGGGAGGCAGCAGUGAGGAAUAUUGCGCAAUGGGGGAAACCCUGACGCAGCGACGCCGCGUGAGUGAGGAAGGCCUUCGGGUCGUAAAGCUCUGUCAAGAGGAAAGAAGUGUACAAUGGCUAAUACCUGUUGUAUUUGACGGUACCUCUAAAGGAAGCACCGGCUAACUCCGUGCCAGCCGCCGC